CCUGCCUUCCCCCCGAAGCCAGCUGGGAUAGGCUCCAGCCCCCCGUGACCCCUAACGGGAUAAGCGGUCAAGAUAAUGGAUGGGUGGAUGGAGGGAUGUAUGAACUCCUCCAAAAACCGACUGAGCUGAGCUGCUGCUUCCAUCUGCAUGAUUGUAGUACCCACUGGUGACCACACAGAGGCAGUGCUGCAGCAUCUGUCCUGUGUGAAUUGGCCACGACCAACACCUCCCCGCUGAAGAGCGACUUCCCCCGUGCGGAAGAUGAAUGGGGGAAUAAAUGGCACUUAUAAUUAAAUCAGCCUGGGAGGAUGUAACACAUUCAGCUUCCAUGCUGCUGUGAUCCACUGGC